rnacentral:rRNA from 1 species
CGCUCGACCCUUCGGGGAAGAGCAUGUCUGCCUCAGCGUCGGUUUAAACC